rnacentral:misc_RNA from 1 species
GAAACACUAAAAAAACUAUAAAAAUUACAUAAAAGGAACACUGGUUAAACAUUAAAUCACCGCAUUUUUUGUUUUUCAUACGUCGAUGAUUUUCUCUUAAAAAUCGCUACUCGCCACCACCAAAUUCAUUUCCUCUCCACCACACGCGUCCGCCCGCGUUUUCACCACAAUCGCCUCCUCUCCUUCUCUUAACAACCAUUCCUUCAUCACCAAUCCAAUAAUGUCUUCCAAAACCUCCUUCGCCACUGUUUGCUUACAAAACAUGGACGACCUCCAAAAGGUUUUCAACCAGUUCGACUCCAACGGCGACGGCAAGAUCUCCAUUGAUGAGCUCGGCGGUGUUCUCAAAGCUAUGGGCUCUACCUACACCACCGAAGAGAUUUCGCUGAGUCUGAAAGGCUGAUCCCCAUCCUGUUCUAUUACGGACAAAUCAUCUUGAUACUUCUACAAAAUGAGGAAGAGGGCAAUAUCAUAGCUGAAUGAAUGAAGAGAAAAAAUUUGGAUUUUGAAGAAAAUAGCCAGGAAAAAAUAUAAUAAAUACAAGUAUCACUGCCCAAUCUACCUUAUAAAAUUUUUUGUUAGCACAAAACUUCCAACUUUUGUGCCGCAAACAUAGUAGUCCAUGAGUUCUCGGUUACAAUUUACUUGACUUUGCUUGUCCUUACUAACAAGAUAAUCCAAAAAGAAUGUGCAAGUGGUUAUUAGUUAGGAACUCAGCAACAAGACACCAAAUUGGUGUAGGAGGAGCCAAAAUCCAUC